GGCGGCAUAGCCAAGUGGUAAGGCAAAGGUCUGCAAAACCUUUAGCAUCGGUUCGAAUCCGAUUGUCGCCU
rnacentral:tRNA from 3 species